rnacentral:lncRNA from 1 species
UGGUUUCUGGGUGUCACGCGAGUGGGCCCUCCCAUCAGCACGCACCAUGGGCCUUUCGCGUCCAAGUUGAUCGUGGGCCCAUCUGGUGAAUUUUGGUAGAUAGCGAGCCUCGGCGGCCCAGUUGUGGGUGGUAAAGCCCUAGUGCUCCCUUCGCUCUGAGGCGUCGACCGACCACCAGAGCGAGGUAGGGUAGGGCAGCUGAGCAGGGCGAGGCGACGAGAGCUGUCGGCCCAGCCUCCAGGCAAGCGGCGGAGAGGCGCCGGCGGCAGUGAGCCUGAAGGGGGCUCCUUGGAGGAGCGGCGGGUGGAGCGGUCGGAGUCUAGGAGGAGGAGGCGGCGGCGCGGAGGAAACUUUCGCCCACUACUCGAUCGGGUAAUUUACUUUCGCCCCUCAAAUCCCAAUCCCCCCCUGUCACAGUUCUGCUACUGUACUUAAUUUAGAGGAAAGAUGAUAUUUUUGUCAUGUUAAUAGUUGGCCCCGGUUAAUCUUGGAAUCCUUCCUCUCAGCAGACAAAUUUUGAACUCCCCCUAAAAAUACAAUUUUUUUUUAUCACAACUCGGUUUCCAAAGCAAAACAGAACAAGAAAUUUUGUUACAACUCCGCCUUGUAAUACAAUUUGAAGUCCGAUACUUCUUCAAUAUGCAUAUGUUGAAUUAUUGCAGUGUAAUUUCCUUGCUCAGGUUAGGUCUUUUCAUCACCAUCACCUUAUGGAAGCGACUGCAAUCUACGAUACUCGGCUUGGGACCUGGGUUAUGUUGUCUGAUGGAGAAGAUUCGACAAGUGCGGUCUUCGAUCGGCUCUUGUCACAUGUGUUUAGGUUGUAUCGAGGGGUGGAGAGCGUUCUCUGUGUUGGAGCAGCCUUCGGUUUGUGCUGGGCAGCUUGGAGGUACUACGAGCGCAACUCGUGCCUGCGCAGCUACGGCCGUGACAUGACCN